rnacentral:lncRNA from 1 species
GUCAAGUUGCCACACUGAGACCCUUGGUUUUACACUUCUGGUUCCCCCUUUGUGAGAACAUCUGGUCCACUCGUGGGAACAUCUAUGAUGCCACUGGUGUGGGAGUCGUGGUAAAUGGGAGUUGGAAACUUGGGGAGAUUUUUCCCUUAUCUGGUCUGUCUGUUUUAAAGGCUCCUGUCUGUCAGCCAUAGUUUGGGGCUCCUCUCUGUCUGUCAUUGUGUCUUUGUAUCUGUUUCUGGCCCUUUAAGACAUGGGCACUAAUGUGUUGAUAUUAUAGAUUGUUUCUUGGGAAUAAUCUUGGCUGAAUGGGCUACUUAUAGAUGUAAAUGUGUCUAAGGAGAUGAUGUUUUACUGUAACAAUCUGGUAUCUGAGUGGGUUUUUGAAGCAUGGUACAUUCUUGCAGUUAAAAGUUGGCUUGUCAGAGAUCAAAUAAUUAAUAAGGAGUCUUAACAGUCAAAAGCUGAGUUGGAUGCAAAGGUGCUGCCUCUAAUUCAUGAGCACAGCAGGACUCUCAGGAGGAUCCUCCCCCACCCAUAAUUCAGCUCCUCUUUAUUCUCUCGCCACUUUCUUUCUUUCUGGAGGAUGAUAUGAGCACCCAAUGGCUACUUAAAUGCAGCUAAUGCAGCCCCAACUCUUGGAAAUUCAGGAGAAAGGUAUCCCAGCCUAGGUAGCUCUCAGUCACCGUCAAUACAGAGCAGGCGUGUUGGGCUCUGCCUUCUGAAGCCGUUUCCUACUUUUCUGUCCAGGCUCAGAGAGCAGUUGUCGUGACUACACAGUGUCCCAAGUUCUGAUCUGCCUUAGAUGUGUGGAGGUAACCUCAGCCAAACUUUAACCUCAAAUGCCCCAGGUACGCUUCUCCUGCUUCUCUGUAGGGGGCCAGAAUAGAAUAGAAGUGCCAGCUUUUCUGUUCUCACCUCGUAUCUUAGACCUCUUAAAAAUAGCUGAACAGCCUAUUACCAAAAGGUUUACUUCCCGUAAGUUAGGAGCAGGCUUUGGAG